rnacentral:rRNA from 1 species
AGAUUGAACGCUAGCGGGAUGCUUUACACAUGCAAGUCGAACGGCAGCGCGGACUUCGGUCUGGCGGCGAGUGGCGAACGGGUGAGUAAUGUAUCGGAACGUACCCAGUAGCGGGGGAUAACUACGCGAAAGCGUGGCUAAUACCGCAUACGCCCUUUGGGGGAAAGCGGGGGACCUUCGGGCCUCGCACUAUUGGAGCGGCCGAUAUCGGAUUAGCUAGUUGGUGAGGUAAAGGCUCACCAAGGCGACGAUCCGUAGCUGGUUUGAGAGGACGACCAGCCACACUGGGACUGAGACACGGCCCAGACUCCUACGGGAGGCAGCAGUGGGGAAUUUUGGACAAUGGGGGCAACCCUGAUCCAGCCAUCCCGCGUGUGCGAUGAAGGCCUUCGGGUUGUAAAGCACUUUUGGCAGGGAAGAAAAGGUGCCGGUGAAUACCCGGCGCCGCUGACGGUACCUGCAGAAUAAGCACCGGCUAACUACGUGCCAGCAGCCGCGGUAAUACGUAGGGUGCAAGCGUUAAUCGGAAUUACUGGGCGUAAAGCGUGCGCAGGCGGCUCGGAAAGAAAGAUGUGAAAUCCCAGGGCUUAACCUUGGAAUGGCAUUUUUAACUCCCGAGCUAGAGUAUGUCAGAGGGGGGUAGAAUUCCACGUGUAGCAGUGAAAUGCGUAGAGAUGUGGAGGAAUACCGAUGGCGAAGGCAG